UACGUAGGGGGCAAGCGUUGUCCGGAUUUAUUGGGCGUAAAGAGCUCGUAGGCGGUUCCGUAAGUCGGAUGUGAAAAAUCUGGGCUCAACCCCAGUGGAGCACCCGAUACUGCGGUGACUCGAGUCCGGUAGGGGAGUGUGGAAUUCCUGGUGUAGCGGUGAAAUGCGCAGAUAUCAGGAAGAACACCCGUGGCUAAGGCGGCUCUCUAGUACGGUACUGACGCUGAGGUGCGAAAGCGUGGGGAGCAAACAGG
rnacentral:rRNA from 1 species